GUUUCGGUGGCCUAGUAGUCAGAACGUCCGCCUCGGAUGAGGGAGGUCAUGGGUUCGAUCCCUGACCAAGGCA